UGGCCUACGGGGCGCAGCAGUGAGGAAUAUUGGUCAAUGGGAGGAAUCCUGAACCAGCCAUGCCGCGUGCAGGACGACGGCUCUACGAGUUGUAAACUGCUUUUGUACCGGGGUAAAAUGCCUUACGAGUAGGGUUUUGAAAGUACGGUACGAAUAAGGAUCGGCUAACUCCGUGCCAGCAGCCGCGGUAAUACGGAGGAUCCGAGCGUUAUCCGGAUUCACUGGGUGUAAAGGGAGCGUAGACGGCCAUGCAAGCCUGGAGUGAAAGCCCGGGGCCCAACCCCGGGACUGCUCUGGGAACUGUG
rnacentral:rRNA from 1 species